rnacentral:rRNA from 1 species
AGAGUUUGAUCAUGGCUCAGAGCGAACGCUGGCGGCGUACUUAACACAUGCAAGUCGAACGGGGAUCAUCGUGUGAGCAAUCAUGUGGUGGUCCUAGUGGCGCACGGGUGAGUAACACGUGGGUAACCUGCCCUCGAGAUCGGGAUACCCCCUCGAAAGGGGGGCUAAUACCGGAUACGCUCCUCGGGUCGAAAGAUCUGGGAAGGAAAGGUGGCGCAAGCUGCCGCUCUUGGAGGGGCUCGCGGCCUAUCAGCUAGUUGGCGGGGUAACGGCCCACCAAGGCUAUGACGGGUAGCUGGUCUGAGAGGACGACCAGCCACACGGGGACUGAGACACGGCCCCGACUCCUACGGGAGGCAGCAGUGGGGAAUUUUCCGCAAUGGGCGAAAGCCUGACGGAGUGACGCCGCGUGUGGGAUGAAGGCCUUCGGGUCGUAAACCACUGUCAGUGGGAAAGAUGGGUGUCGGCGCGACAACCGCCGGCAUCUGACGGUACCUGCAGAGGAAGCCCCGGCUAACUCUGUGCCAGCAGCCGCGGUAAGACAGAGGGGGCAAGCGUUGCUCGGAAUUACUGGGCGUAAAGGGCGCGUAGGCGGGAUGGCAAGUCGGUCGUGAAAUCCCUCGGCUCAACCGAGGAGUGUCGAUCGAUACUGCCGUUCUUGAGGGUUGCAGAGGAGACUGGAAUUCCCGGUGUAGCGGUGAAAUGUGUAGAGAUCGGGAGGAACACCGGUGGCGAAGGCGGGUCUCUGGGCAACUCCUGACGCUGAGGCGCGAAAGCGUGGGGAGCAAACGGGAUUAGAUACCCCGGUAGUCCACGCUGUAAACGAUGACGGCUAGGUGUGGGGGGGGUUCAGUCCCCUCCGUGCCGCAGCUAACGCAUUAAGUCGUCCGCCUGGGGAGUACGGCCGCAAGGUUGAAACUCAAAGGAAUUGACGGGGGCCCGC